CAACGCUACUCUGUUUACCAGGUCAGGUCCGGAAGGAAGCAGCCAGAGCAGACGACGUGUGUGCCGGGAUGUAGCUGGCAGGG
rnacentral:SRP_RNA from 1 species